rnacentral:rRNA from 1 species
AACGAACGCUGGCGGCAUGCCUAACACAUGCAAGUCGAACGAGAUCUUCGGGUCUAGUGGCGCACGGGUGCGUAACGCGUGGGAAUCCGCCCUUUGGUUCGGAAUAACAGUUGGAAACGACUGCUAAUACCGGAUGAUGACGAAAGUCCAAAGAUUUAUCGCCAGAGGAUGAGCCCGCGUAGGAUUAGCUAGUUGGUGGGGUAAAGGCGCACCAAGGCGACGAUCCUUAGCUGGUCUGAGAGGAUGAUCAGCCACACUGGGACUGAGACACGGCCCAGACUCCUACGGGAGGCAGCAGUGGGGAAUAUUGGACAAUGGGCGAAAGCCUGAUCCAGCAAUGCCGCGUGAGUGAUGAAGGCCUUAGGGUUGUAAAGCUCUUUUACCCGGGAUGAUAAUGACAGUACCGGGAGAAUAAGCUCCGGCUAACUCCGUGCCAGCAGCCGCGGUAA